AGGGAUGUAGCUCAAAUAGUAGAGUGCUCGCAUUGCAUGUGAGAGGUACAAGGUUUGAUCCCUUGUAUCUCUA
rnacentral:tRNA from 1 species